UAUCGUUCAGAUUUUGGAUUAAUAACAUCAGAUGAUGGUUUCGAUCUGAGGCAAUGAUGGAUUUUAUAGGCAAAAUUGUAGCAGCGAGGAAGGUAAAAGAAUCGGCCACGGUAGAGGAAUCGACAAACGGUAGAUUUGAUAAGACACGAUCCAUCUGAAACGGUGGUAGAUUUUAUGAGACAUGAUCUCGUCGAUCCUGUCUAAAACGGAAAUAGGGGACGGAUGCUGCGGCGGAGAGAGGAGAAGAAACGAUUUAUUGUAACGGGCAUGAGAAGAAGCAAGGUCUCGCGCAGGGGGAGCGAUUUACUGUAACAGACAUGAGAAGAAGUAAGGUCGUGCGGAGGCAGAGCAAUUUACUAUUUUUGGUGGAGAAUAAGCAAGGUCGUGUGUAUUGGUUCAAUUUGAUUUAGAGGUUUAGAUAGUGAACAGUUCGCAUCAGUUCAGUUUGGUCCUGUUCGGUUUAGAGGUUCAGGGAGGGGCAGUUCAAUGGUUCGGUUCAGAUGUUUAAAGACAACGGUUCUAUAGGCAAAAUAGGCAAAAAUGUAGCAGCGAUGACGGUAGAAGAAUCGGCUAGCGUAGAGGAAUCGGCGGACGGUAGAUUUGAUGAGACACGAUCCAUCUGAAACGGUGGUAGAUUUUAUGCGACACGAUCUCGUCGAUCCCGUUUGAAAUAGAAAUAGGGGACGAAUACUGCGGCGAAGAGAGGAGAAGAAACGAUUUAUUGUUACAGACAUGAGAAAAAGCAAGGUCGCGCAGAGGGGAAGCGAUUUAUUGUAACGGACAUGAGAAAAAGCAAGGUCGUGCGGAGGCGGAGCGAUUUACUGUUUUGCAUUGAGAAAAAGCAAGGUCGUGUGUAUUGGUUUGGUUUGAUUUAGAGGUUUAGAUAGUGAACGGUUCGCUUCGGUUCGGUUUGGUUCGGUUUGGUUCAGAGGUUCAGAGAGAGGUAGUUCAAUGGUUCGGUUCAGAUGUUUAGAGACAACAGUUCGGUUUGGUUCAGUUCAGCGGUUCAGAGAGAGAUAGUUCAAGACUAAAUUACCAAUUAUUCUAGAAAAUAAUAAACGGUUAUAAAUUCUAUGUUGAUGAAAAAGGAACAAUUCAUGGCAAAGAGAACUACUAACCGGAAACCAUAGCAAAAAGAAAACGUCCAAAUCUUGUAAAUGUGAGCGUCGAUUUCUAGGGAUAAGACAAUAAUAUUAUUAUAUAAGAAAGAAAGAUUUGAUCUGAAUACCUAAAUUUCUUAUCGUUCAGAUUUUGGAAUAAAAACAUCAGACGAUGGUUUCAAUCUGAGGCAAGGAUGGAUUUUAUAGGCAAAAUUAUAACAGCGAGGAAGGUAGAAGAAUCGGCCAGGGUAGAGGAAUCGACAGACGGUAGAUUUGAUGAGACACGAUCCAUCUGAAACGGUGGUAGAUUUUAUGCGACACGAUCUCGUUGAUCCCUUCUAAAACGGAAAUAGGGAACGGAUGCUGCGGCGGAGAGAGGAGAAGAAACAAUUUAUUGUAACGGACAUGAUAAAAAGUAAGGUCGUGCGGAAGGGGAGCGAUUUACUAUAACAGACAUGAGAAGAAAUAAGGUCGUGCGGAGGCAGAGCGAUUUACUAUUUUUCGUGUAGAAUAAGUAAGGUCGCGUGUAUUGGUUCAGUUUGAUUUAAAGGUUUAGAUAGUGAUCGGUUCGCAUAGGUUCAGUUUGGUCCUGUUCGGUUUAGAGGUUUAGAGAGAGGCAGUUCAAUGGUUCGGUUUAGAUGUUUAGAGAAAACGGUUCUAUAGGCAAAAUAGGCAAUAAUGUAGCAGCGUGGAGGGUAGAAGAAUCGGCCAGGGUAGAGGAAUCGGUAGACGGUAGAUUUGAUGAGACACGAUCCAUCUGAAACGUUGGUAGAUUUUAUGAGACACGAUCUCGUCGAUCCCGUCUGAAACUGAAAUAAGGGACGGAUGCUGCGGCGGAGAGAGAAGAAGAAACGAUUUAUUGUAACGGACAUGAGAGAAAGCAAGGUCGCGCGGAGGGGGAGCGAUCUACUGUAACGGACAUGAGAAUAAGCAAGGUCGUGCGGAGACGUAGCAAUUUACUGUUUUGCGUGGAGAAAAAGCAAGGUCGUGUGUAUUGGUUUGGUUUGAUUUAGAGGUUUAGAUAGUGAACGGUUCGCUUCGGUUCGGUUUGGUUCGAUUUGGUUCAGAGGUUCAGAGAGAGGUAGUUCAAUGGUUCAGUUCAGAUGUUUAGAGACAACAGUUCGGUUCGGUUCGGUUCAGAGGUUCAGAGAGAGACAGUUCAAGACUAAAUUACCAAUCAUUCUAGAAAAUAAUAAACGGUUAGAAAUUCUAUGUUGAUCAAAAAGGAACAAUUCAUGGCAAAGAGAACUACUAACCUGAAACCCUAGAAAGAAGAAAACGUCCAGAUCUUGUAAAUGUGAGCAUCGAUUUCUAGGGAUAAGAUAAUAAGAUUAUUAUAUAAGAAAGAAAGAUUUGAUCUGAAUACCUAAAUUUCUUAUCGUUCAGAUUUUGGAAUAAUAACAUCAGAUAUUAGUUUCGAUCUGUGGCAAGGAUGGAUUUUAUAGGCAAAAUUGUAGUAGCGAGAAAGGUAGAAGAAUCGACCAGGGUAGAGGAAUCGACAGACGGUAGAUUUGAUGAGACACGUGUUAGUUGUAUGCCCUAGAAGCCUAUCAGGCUGACGCAUUUUAUUUUCUAUGGGACAUAUUUUUGUACUUAAUCUUUAUAUAAUUGGGCCUUUUAAUCCAUUCAUGUUAAAUGUGUCCAUGAAUCGUCCUUUGAAUUAAUAAGAUGAUAACCUGUAUUCUCAAGAGUUGAGAAUUUGAGAUACAUAUUAUUGGUGAUUAAUUCAUAAAUGCUCUCAAUCGGAGGAUCAUCAUGGGGACGAUGAUAGAUCCGGUAAGAUUGAUGUGUGUGCCGCUUCCUUUUUGGGAUGACGAAUCUCGAGUCAUCAGUGUGGGGACACUGGAGCGAACAUGCAGGUGGUUGUUGGAGAACAACGGUACUGAGCGUGACCAACUACGAACAGUUACAUGGAUGUCUACUCAUUCGUCAGUAACUGGUUCGAUGUUGCAGUGGUACAACUGAUCCUUAGACCUGCGACACAACGGUCAUUCAAUAUGAGGCUACUGUAGUUUGACUAUGCAACAAACUCUGAUCCUAGCCAUGGGUCUUAGUAGUAUAUGUUGGCUGCGGUCGGUUCAUAUUAGGAAUGGGUGUGUGUUUAUAGGGGAUCUAUCGCUCUCGGUAGAGAGAUAAUUAGUUCUAUGCUAUUUGUACGACAAAGCUCAGAAAUCCUCGGCCGGGGUAAUAUGGUGUAUGGAAAGAUGUUUCCAAGAGUAACCAUAAGAGCUUCUGUCUGAUCAAAUUUGUCAUAUGACGGGUGAUGGGGUUUGACGAAUAUUCCAUGACCUCCACUCAGUUGGAACUAUGCGAUAGAAGGAUUGUAUUGUACGGUAACUGCACCUAGAGGUUCAGUCCGAUAUUCACUUCUGACUGGAUUGCCACUACAUGCUGUUAGGCGUCACUGGUGGAUUGUGGGAACCAAUAGAAAUAAUUAUUAAUAUUUAAUUAUUCUAUUAGGGUGGAAUCAAAAGAGUUUGAGCCAUCGAAAAGAGUUUCGAUGAUGAUGUGGAUGGAGAUCGCAUCAUAUCCCACUAACAGACAGAAUUGAACCUAUUAGGUCACACACAUAAGAAAUCGCGCAUGAUCGAUAUUUAAGAUACGAUAAAAGAAGUUUAUCGGAUGGAUUAAUUAUAAUUACAAUAUAGUUAAAUACUAAAGUUUACUAAUUUAUUAGUAAAAGGACUAAUUUGCAAUUGUUGUAAAUUAGAGGUAUUUAUGUGUAAAAGUUGCAUGGUGUAUUUACUAAUUGUUAGUUGUUAAGGAUUUUAUAGGUUGGCGAAUUUCGUAAAGUUGGUUGGAGUCUUGAAGAGUGGAUCGCAGAAGUUUUGAAGAAAAGAUUCAAAUUGAAGAACUAAGACUCAUUCGGAAAGCUCGACACCUAAGGUAUGAAGAAAAGAUCAUUUGUGGUGAAGAUACCUAGUUAGAAUAAGUUCAGAAGGCUUAGAUGGUUUUAAAACUACUUUACUGAACUUUUCUGUGUUCUGGGACCGGUCUCAGAGUUCAAGAGACCGGUACCCCUAAGGUCCUCACUGCGUGAACCUUGAUGCAACCGGUCCCCUGUGAUGAGAGACCGGUUCCCGAACCUUGGUAUUUCUGUCGCGCAGCAAGGGACCGGUCUCAAGCUUGAGAGACCGGUCCCCGAACGUUGUGAUUUUGGUCACGCAGCGAGGGACCGGUUCCUCACUUGAGAGACCGGUCUCUCACAGACCGGUCUCCUCGAGAAGACCGGUCUCUGAGGACGACACAGGUUUUUAAAAAAGAGUUUUUGCAAUCCUAGUCUACUUCUAAGUCUUCUAAACAUAUAAAUAAGCUAUGUGGGUCAUCUAAAAGUUUAAGGCUUUGAAUUUUUACUGAUUCUAAACCCUAGAAACUUAUUUUUCUUCGUUUCAAUGCUUUGAUUCACAUAACGAGUUUCCAACAAUCAACAAUCGGCUUGAUUCUUCGUUUUUACUCGAUAACCCAUACGAGAAUCAAGUAGAUGUUUGAUUAAAGGUGAACCCUCAUAGCUUAUGGUAUUAAAAGGUUAAAUCAUCACAAAUCUUCGAUUCUACAAGCUCCGGAAGGAGGUUCGACGCGUGGAUCUCGCGUGAAGCCGAGGAUUCGGUGGACGCUUCGAGGAAUUGAGGCGUUGACGCUGCGAGGAGUUGCAGCAAGGUCGAUUGGUGGAUUCCUAUCGAUCGAGGACCGGCAAAGAUCACCAUCAACAAGAAAUCGGUAAAUUGAGUCGUGUGUUUUUGUCGAAAUCACUUGUACUCAAGUUUUCUUAGUGGAUUUUCUUUGCGUGAUCGGUCCCGUGGGUUUUUCACUCCGAAUUGGAGUUUUCCCACGUUAAAUUCUCGGUGUGCUGUUUUAUUUUCCGCUACUUUGUUUUAUUUGCAUCGAGAUUUUCGAGUUUGCCGUUUUUACACCUAUUCACCCCCCUCUAGGUGUUACUUACCUUUUAGAUCCUCGGGAUCCAUAUCUUACAAGUGGUAUCAGAGCGGGUAUAGGUUGUAAUUCAUGGCUGAGGGCGGUAACAUCAAUCGACCCCCGCUCUUCGAUGGCACUAACUAUGCUUAUUGGAAAGUCCGUAUGAGGGCGUUUCUUAUUGCUAUCGACGAGCGGGUUUGGCAAGCCAUUGAAUUCGGAUGGAAAAAUCCUACCGAAGUUGUCGAGAAUGUUACCGUGCCGAAACCUAGGAAUAAAUGGACGAAAGAGGAAAAUGAACUAUCUUCGUUCAACGGGAAAGGUAUCAAUGCUUUAUUCAAUGCUUUAAACCAAACUGAAUUUUCUCGCGUCUCGGCGUGCGAAACCGCCAAAGAGAUUUGGGACACUUUGCGAGUUACACACGAGGGUACAAGUUUGGUUAAGAUUCAAAAAUUGCAAAUGCUUACUAGCAGAUUUGAUUCCAUUCGUAUGGAAGAACAUGAAUCUUUUACCGAGUACUAUACUCGUUUGCAAGACAUUGUAAACACGUGUGCUAACUUGGGCGAGAAAAUUCCCGAUUCCAAAAUUGUUCGAAAAAUUUUGAGAACCCUUCCCGAACGAUUCCGUCCUAAGGUUGCAGCUAUUGAAACGGUCAAACAUCCUGAUGAACUCAAGGUAGAAGAAUUAGUAGGUGCUCUUCAAACUUAUGAAAUGACUUUUCCUUCUAAUUCGUCUUCUUCUAAGUCGUUUUCUAAAACCUCAGGGAUGGCUCUAAAAUCAACAAAAGGAGAUGUCACUUCAACUUCAUCAGAUUCAGAGUCGGAGCAAAGCCUGGAGGACUUUGAAAAGCAACUAGCACUUCUUACAAAGAAGUUUCGUCGGAACUUUAGAAAGAAGGUUCCUCCCAAGUCUACUUCUUCCAAGACAAACAAAUCUAAAGGGGGUUCGUCUUCUUCCUCCUCAUCAAAAUACAGAAAAUCUGAUAACUCUCAAAAGGACUCCACAAAAGAGAAGAAAAGCGGUGAAGGUCAAAUUCAAUGCUACAAGUGUAGAGGCUUUGGUUAUAUCGCAUCUGACUGUCCUAAUAAAAAGUCGUUGAAGAAGAAAGCGAUGCAAGCUAUCACUUGGGACGACUCCUCAUCUGACGAUUCCACUUCGAGUGAAGAGGAUGUAAAUGCCACGACACUAAUUGCACAGGAUUCAACUCUUAUGUGUUUAGCAUCUGCUGACUCGAUCUCCAUAACAUCUAUACAAGAGAAGUCAUCUUCGGAGAACUCAUCGGAUGAAGAAUCGGAUGAAGAUGACAUGGUCGCAGCAUAUCAACAAUUGGUUGUUGAAUUAAAGAAGAUGGCUAAACAUAACAAGAGACUGCGGCGAAGCCUACAUGAGUUGGAACAAGAAAAUUCAAAAUUGGUCUCUUUAACAAAGGAUUUAGAACAAGAGAGAGAUAGCUUGACGAAGGCCAUAAUUCCUUGAUCGAGAAGUGCUCAUUACUUGAAAAGGAAAAAGAGACACAAGUGGAGAAUAUCACUUUUCUCACCAAGCAAUACUCAGAAGCUAGAGAAGCAAAUAUGGAAUUCACCAAGACGAUUAUUCAACUAAAGUCAGAUUUGAACCAAUUUUCGUUUGGAUCAAGUAAACUCGACAAGAUGCUUGGACUUGGUCAAACAAACAAACUUGGACUUCGGUACGAACGGACCUAUGUUGACCAAGCAACAAAGAAAGAUGGCGGACAUUCUUCAACUGCUGUUCCUAAGCUCUAUGGUAAGUUCGUUCCUCCUCAAAAUAAUCUGACUAACAAAGCGUGUCAUAUUUGUGGUGCUUUAGGACACAUAAAGAAGUUCUGCAAACAAAAGGGAAAGAGCUCAUCAACACCCUUGAAUCAAAGAACAUCACUUAUGAAGAAUGAUCUUAAAUCAAGAGGGAAGUCAACUUGGACUCCAAAGAAGGUUGAUUAUAAGAAGAAACGAACAUGGACACCAAAUACUCCGGAAUCAAAGGCAAAACAGGCGUGGAAACCAAAGAAGGAGGAUAUGAAGAAGAAGUCAAUUCAAAUCGUCGACAAGCCACGAUCAACAAAAGCAAGCGAACUGACACAGCCCAAAACAUGUAAGGUUUGGGUGCGCAAAGGUGAACUCUUCCCAUGCCUAGUCAUUCAUACUUCGUUUCAUGCUUACGAUAACUCAUCAUGGUAUCUGGAUAGUGGCUGUUCCCGUCACAUGACCGGAGAUAAAAAUUGGUUUACUUCUUUGACCAAAAUCUCCGGAGGACUUGUUGUUUUUGGGGACGGUCGAUCGUCAAAAAUUGUUGGAAAAGGAACAGUGACUAUUUCAGAUGGCCCUACGUUGAACGAUGUCUUUUAUGUUGAGGAGCUCAAAUCUAAUCUCGUAAGCAUAAGCCAACUGUGUGAUGAUGGGUAUUCUGUGAAUUUUUCUGAUAAAGAAUGCCAUGUGACUCGUGAUGAAAAUCUGUUUUUAAAGGGCAUUAGAUCUCAGAAUAAUUGUUAUGUAGUUCCUAGCUCGUCCACUGAACAUUGUAACCUAGCGUCAUUAGAAACUGAAACUUUAUGGCAUGAACGACUAGGUCACAUAAACUUUAAGGAGCUAUCAAAAGAUAACAAGAGGACGGUAGUAGAGGUGUACCUAGAUUUGAUUUUAAGAGAACACUGUGUGUGGGGGUUGCAAUUGGGAAACAACUAGAAUACUUCUAUGAAAGAACUUGAACCACUUGGGACAAAUUAAGUCUUUAAUACUUAACAUGGACUUGAUGUGCACAUCUAGGAUUUCAAGUUGGGUGAGGAAACGCUUAUAUCUUAAUAUUGUUGAUGAUUUUACCGUUUUGUAUGGGAGGCCUUUCAUCAGAAAAAGCUUGAUACUUUUAAUUCUUGUUUCUGAAUCUAGUCUCCGUUUAUGAUGAACGAAAUGAUAAAUUGAUACGUAUUCGACGAUCAGGGGGAAUUCAUAAGAUUCUAUUUGUUGAUUUUUGUGUUUCAAAUGGUAUUAAAAAAUGAAUUUCCGCGUCCCUAUACCCAAACAAAAGGGAUGUGUUGAACGCAAGAUGAUUGUACGAGAUGUUGGUUUGCUUCUAGUAGAAAUUGCUUACAAUUUUUGGGCCGAAGCAGUUAACAGUCUGUCUAUGUUUCAAUCGGAGUUUAGUAUGUCGCACUUUGAUUAGCCUUAUGAUUUGCUUUUGGUAUGGAAACUAACAUUAAAAUACUUUUCGUGUCUUCGGGAGUAAAUGUUUUAUCCUUCGGGGCUGUGAAAUUUGAAAAAUUGACUCUCGCAAAGUUACGAGGCAUAUUUCUUGGUUAUUCUACUACAGUGUGAUUAUGUGUUACAAUUACGAUCUAAGACGGUGAUAGGUCUAUCAAUAUAAGUAGAUGAAGCUUGUCGUGAGUCUUCUGUGAAUGGUUUCUAAAUCUUGAUGAUGUGAUGAUAAUGAAUCUCGUUUGUAUUGCAUGUGAAUGUGUGUUUUACCUGUGAAUUCAUUUUCUUCUGAAAAAUAUUAAAUCAAAUAAUUAUUCUGAGCCACAAAACCACGUUGAAUUCCUUAGCAUAUUUCCUGGAGAUUACCCCUGCGGGGUCAAGAGAUCAUUCCUUGUUAUCAAAUUGUGAUUGGGAUUCUAAUGUUGUGUGUGCGGACAGAAGUCAUACAAUUGUGGAAUUUGCUGUUUAUGUAUUCUGUUGAUCGAGCAAAGAAUGUCGACGAAGUCUUGGGGAUGAAUAUUGGAUAAAUCCAUGCAAAGAAAGAUUUUGGUCAAUUUUUCGCAAUGAUGUAUGGGAAUGGGGUGCCUCGUACUGAGCACAAUAACAUUUUUAGGUCAAAUUGGGACUUUAAGAUAAGAGAAAUGAGGAUGGUACUAUUGAUGCGGAACAAAGCAUAGACUUGUGGCUCAGGUAUACAAUUGAGGAAUAGUUUUGAUGAAACUUUGCUUCUGGUUGCCGUUUGAAUCUAUUCGUAUUUGUUCGCAAUUGCUUGCAAUUUAAAUCACGCUCUUUCAAGGAUGUCAAAAGUGCCGUUUCUAAAUGGAUUUUUAAAAGAGAAAGUUUAUGUUGAACAACGAAGUGGUUUUAUUGAUCUAAAAUUUUAAAAAUCAUUGUUUUUCGAUUGAAAAUAUGCACUUUUAUGGUUACUAAAACAAGCUCCGCAGCUGGACGUGUUGAGAAAGAUCUUUUGAAAAGGGCUAUAUGAGGGGGAGCGGAUAGAACUUUUUGUAAAACUGAAGGAUAUUUCAUAUAGUGGCAGCAAUAUUGUAGAUGACAUAGUUUUUGGGCGGCUACUAAGACAGGAUGCGUGAUUUUGCAAAGUUUAAUGACCUAUGCGGUUUGAUGGCGGUUUGAGAUUGUCGAUCGAUGGGGGAGCUUAAUUAUUCCUUGGACUCAAGUUAAACAUCAAAAGAUUUUGGAAUUAUCUGUCAGACAAAGUUAUGCAAGGAACUGUUUAAGAGAUUUGAUUGAAAAUGCGAAAGGAUUUGACACGUCUAUGAGUACAAGACAAAGGGAUGAGAUUGAAUCAGCAAUAUCAGAGUGUGGAUGAGAACACAAUACAGAAGCCAUGAUUUGGUAGCCUAUUGUUAUUGACUGUGAGUUCAGAGCCAGAUAUUAGGUUUAGUUUGAAUUUGUGUGGUUAUCAGGUAACCUUAAGGAGAGUACAUCUGAAGCAGUUAAAGGAUCAUUCGGUAUGUUAAAGGAACCACAGUAUGGCUCUGGUUCCUUGGGAACCUCUCUUGACCUAAUCGCUACUUCGAUUAUGCUGACUGGAGGUAGGAUCGCGAGGAUAUCGGAACAGUACUAGUGAGCUGGUUUUUCAUUGGACAUUGUUGGUCGCUUGGAAGUAAGAAACAAAUUGUAUUGCUAUUUCGACGUGCAGAAGGAAUACGUAACUUGUGGCUGGGGAGUUGCUCUACUCAAUUAAUUUGGAUGAAAAGCUUACUGAGCGACUAUCGGAUUCCUUCUACCACUCUUACUAUUCUGUGUGACAACACGAGUGCAAUUAAUAUUUCUAAAAACCCUGUUUUACAUUCUCGAACAAAACAUAUUGAACUAAGAUAUCAUUUUUUAAGAGAACUGGUUGAAUCACACAUCUUACAACUUGAAUAUAUUUCGACUGAAAAUCAACUUACAGAUAUGUUAACCAAACCUUUGGAUCAAAAACGUUUUCUGCAUUUAAGAAAGGCAAUUGGUAUGAACCCUUCAAUCUAGAUAUAUACUAGUGGGUCAUAGGUCAUGUGCAUGUUGCAUUUUUGAUUUUCGGUGGUUGUGAGUUGGUUGAAUUUCCUGCAUAAUGUUGCUGUUUUGAGAGAUGAGUUGAUCUGUGAUUUUAAGUAUUUCAUUUUUAAUUUUUGAUUGAUCACUGUCAGGGUUAUUCUCUAUUGACAUAUUUUUGAACGAUCAAAUCUUUGAAAUUCUGUUUAGCAUAUUGAAUCAAAUUCAACACCUCAUGCUUUGAAAUUUGAAUGUUGGAAUUGUUUGUUUGAUUAUUAGUUUUGAGAUAAAUAAAUCUUUCUCUAUUUUUGAAAUAGCUAUAAUAUUUUUGACUUGAGGGUUGCACUAAUUUAGGAGGAGUCUUUCCAAUUUUAGCUAUGAAAAUUUCUGAAAUUCAAGAUGUGGAAAGAGUUACAUCCCUGCUGGGAGUGUGUAAACUAUCACCACAUGGAGGAAAGAGCUACCACCCCGGUCGUCCGGUUAGUGUGUGCAGCUACCACAUGUUGAUUAAAGUAUCUAUGUAAGACAAAAGGAAAGUACCUUUCAGAAAGAGAAAAAUGUAAGAAUAAUAUGCUCAAAGAGCUAUACAUCUUGUAGGUGAUAUAAGGUGGAAUGUUACUAAAAGAUGCUCAAAGAGCCACUCCUGUCUCGAAUAAUGUGCAUAACUCAAUUUGAUCAUGUUAUGUUAAUUUCACGAUUAUGAGAAUUAUUUAUUCAUUUUCUUUAACAAAAUAUGAUGGUAAAAUGAUACAAUAUAUUCCUAGAUCUUGCAUGAUGUGUGGGAUUUUAUUUUAUAUGUAUCGAGAAUUCUCAUUGAUUUUCGGGUCAAAAAUUUUGAAAUUUUGAAUAUCCCUGAAAUUGAUUUUUCAAAAUUCAUUUAUGAAAUUUUAUUUAAAUUUUUUUGUGGAUGGAAAUAGGUUAUUUGUGGUGAUUGCGCAUUAUGGAAUACCCUUACAUUUUUUUUUUUUGGAAUUUUCGGGCUACAUUUAGAAUAUUUUAAAAUUUCCAGGCUCUGGGACCGGUCCCAGGCAAGAGAGACCGGUCCCUCCGCCAGACCCGAUAAAGGGGUUUAUGCGUAGGGUUCUUUGUACUGUUUCCAAAACUUGAGCUUUUCAUUUCCAGAGUUCUCCCCUGCUUCUCUCUUGUCCUUAGAGUGGGAUUGCUCUCGAUCUUUCUUGGUUUGCAUUGAUUAUAGGUAAGAUUUCGGAUUUUGUUGCUUUUAGUUGAUAUAUUCCGAAAUUAGGUUUUAUUUCAGAUUUUUUGGUGUUUGUUCUAGAGAUCUUGAUGAAUGUGUUCUUUUAGGCUUCGAUCUUGUUUUUAGAUCCGUUAUUUUCAUUUUCUGUAGUAUUUCUUCAUCUUUUUGGUUCAUUUUGUAGGUUUAUCAUGAUCAAAAAUUUGAUUUUCAAUUUUUUUUGUGGGAAAUUGCUUUUGGCUGAUUUUGGUGCAUGAGUGGUUCUUGUUUUUCAUGAUCUUGAGGCCCCUAGGAUCAUCUAGUUUUUAUAUACCAACUUGCUAAACAUGUUUGGAAUUUUUUAGAAAAAUUUGUUUUUAUAGAUGUAAAUUUCAUUAUGUUUAACAGGUGAUUUUCGAAAAUGUACUCGUGGCUUCUUGUGCUUGUUGUUCUUAUGGCUGGCGGUGGUCGUGGAAGCAAACGACAGCGCUCUAAAGCUAAACGGCCGAUUGAGUAUCAACCGGAAGAUGAAGAGAGCGAAUAUGCUCCUGGCGACGACUCUGAGGAGGAUGAGCCGGAUUGGGAGGCCUUUGUUCCCGAGGUAUUAGCUAAGGAUAAGGAUGCUGGGAAAGGCAAGGGAAAAGGAAAAGCAGUGGAUAAAGGCAAAGGAAAGGUGACUGAACGUCCUGGUCGUCGCAAGUACGGCGGUGUUGAAAUUCGAGAACCGGGUUCUGAGCCACCACGUCAUAGUCUACAGGAUGUUCCAUCUGCUCGACGGUCAAUGUACUCGUCGAAACACUGCAUUGGUGAGCGAGAUGUUGGGGUGGCCAGUAUCAUUAGUUGUGUGCCGGGUUUUCAGGAUUUAUUUGAACACGAAAAUCUUCAUCAGAUUUGUGAUUUCCCGGAACAAACCGGUUUUUGUUUGGAGUUGAUCAGAGAAUUUUAUAUGAGAGCAGGUCACCUAAGUGACUCCGACGGCGGCCCGUACGUAUUUAAGACGUCCGUACGUGGUGUUGAGUUAUCCAUCACUCCUGAUACGAUAGCAUCGGUGCUAGGUAUGGAAGCAAAGACUGACGGAGUGGAGUAUCUGCAAGCUGGGUUCGACUCACUUCGCGAUUGGAAUCGUGUAGUGAGCACUAUUUGCAUGUCGGGUUCCGAGUCGAACGGCAUUAUGGUUAUGUCCAAAGAUUUCAAAAUGGAGUAUCGUUUCUUAAACUUCGUGGUUUGCUACAACAUUCUGCCUCUCGCAAACACGAAGAUUCUGAGGUGGGAUCGUAUUCUGUAUAUGUAUCUUUUGGGACGGCCAGAUAUUGUGAGUGAAAAAAAUAUUAACACGAAUAUUCCGUUUCUGAUCCGGCGGAGGAUGGCAAAAGACAUCAAAACUUCUGGACAAAAUGAAAGGCUGCCAUUUCCAUUGAUAAUCAUGAGGAUUCUGCGACUUUGUGAUGUGGAUGUCCGGUGUACAUCUUAUGAGCACAGUUUGGGUCGGAUAAAUGAACGGACAUUUGUGAAGUCCUCGGUGCAGCUUCGUACACCGUCUCAGCGUGCUUCUUCCCCUCCUGCUGCUCCACCUCCUGCUACUGCUACUUCUUCACGUCCUUCUAUGGACAUUUCUGAGGAAGAUAUCUCCGUUUCCUCUGUGUAUCGUGAGCAACAACGUCUAUCUGAGGAGCUUCAGAAAUUGUCUGCGGAGCAAGCUGCGAUUCGGAAGGAUGUAAGCAAGAUGAAGCGCUUAUUGAAUAUGAUUUUUGACAAGUUAGGAUGUUGCCGAGCAGAUUUACCUCCAGGGGAUGCUUCCGAUUAGGCGUUACCGGGUUCCUUCUUUUGUCAUUUUGGCGCUUUCUGACAAAAAGAGGAAGAUGGAGAUGGUGGUUCUUGAUGAUGAUGAUGCAUUUUAGCUUAGCUUCAUGAUGAUGCUCUUGAUCUUGAUAAUGAUGUAUUUAGCUUUGAUGCAGCAUUUUGUUUAGAUGAACUUUAGAUGAACUUUGUUUAGUUAGUGCUUUAGGUGUUUGAUUAUGAACUAUGACUUGAUACUUUGUUUGAUCUUGAUACUUGAAUCUUGAUUAUGUUUUGAGAAUGUUUUUGCAGGAAUAAUUCAAGACUUCAAGACUCCAUGUCUAAGUCAUAGAGUUUGUAUUAAGAUUAUGAAAAUUGUAAUUUUCGUUUAUUGGAUCGAUCAUGCAGGAGAUUAUCGUUUGGUGAUUGCGAUAAUCUUCUUUUUAUUGUUUCUGCGUUGUGUACGAAUUUAUAGUAUAUUUUGUCACGAAAUCGCCAAAGGGGGAGAUUGUUAAGGAUUUUAUAGGUUGGCGAAUUUCGUAAAGUUGGUUGGAGUCUUGAAGAGUGGAUCGCAGAAGUUUUGAAGAAAAGAUUCAAAUUGAAGAACUAAGACUCAUUUGGAAAGCUCGACACCUAAGGUAUGAAGAAAAGAUCAUUUGUGGUGAAGAUACUUAGUUAGAAUAAGUUCAGAAGGCUUAGAUGGUUUUAAAACUACUUUACUGAACUUUUCUGUGUUCUGGGACCGGUCUCAGAGUUCAAGAGACCGGUUCCCCUAAGGUCCUCACUGCGUGAACCAUGAUGCAACCGGUCCCCUGUGAUGAGAGACCGGUUCCCGAACCUUGGUAUUUCUGUCGCGCAGCAAGGGACCGGUCUCAAGCUUGAGAGACCGGUCCCCGAACGUUGUGAUUUUGGUCACGCAGCGAGGGACCGGUUCCUCACUUGAGAGACCGGUCUCUCACGGACCGGUCUCCUCGAGAAGACCGGUCUCUGAGGACGACACAGGUUUUUAAAAAAGAGUUUUUGCAAUCCUAGUCUACUUCUAAGUCUUCUAAACAUAUAAAUAAGCUAUGUGGGUCAUCUAAAAGUUUAAGACUUUGAAUUUUUACUGAUUCAAAACCCUAGAAACUUAUUUUUCUUCGUUUCAAUGCUUUAAUUCACAUAACGAGUUUCCAACAAUCAACAAUCGGCUUAAUUCUUCGUUUUUUACUCGAUAACCCAUACGAGAAUCAAGUAGAUGUUUGAUUAAAGGUGAACCCUCAUAGCUUAUGGUAUAAAAGGUUAAAUCAUCACAAAUCAUCGAUUCUACAAGCUCCGGAAGGAGGUUCGACGCGUGGAUCUCGCGUGAAGCCGAAGAUUCGGUGGACGCUUCGAGGAAUUGAGGCGUUGACGCUGCGAGGAGUUGCGUCAAGGUCGAUUGGAGGAUUCCUAUCGAUCGAGGACCGGCGAAGAUCGUCAUCUACGGGAAAUCGGUAAAUUGAGUCGUGUGUUUUGGUCAAAAUCAAUUGUACUCAUUUUUUUCUUAGUGGAUUUUCUUUGCGUGAUUGGUCCCAUGGGUUUUUCACUCCGAUUUGAAGUUUUCCCACGUUAAAUUCUCGGUGUGCUGUUUUCUUUUCCGCUAUUUUGUUUUAUUCACAUCGAGAUUUUUGAGUUUGCCGUUGUUACACCUAUUCACCCCCCUCUAGGUGUUACUUACCUUUUAGAUCCUCGGGAUCCAUAUCUUACAUUAGUAAAUAAUAUGAGGACUUAUGUGUAAAUGUUACACACGAAUCGAAUUAGAAUUAGGAUUCGGAAUUCGGUUAAUAUCAUAACCAACUUGUGGGUUAAUGGAUAAUCUAAUCGGAAUAGGAUUUCGAUUAGGAUUACGUUAGGGUUUUCUCAUUAUAAAUAUAUGUCAUAUGACAUAUUAAAAUUAACAUAAAAUUAAUACAAGAGAAAUAGAAAACCCUAGCCGUCAAUCCUCUUUCUUCCUCAAGUUCUCCACAAUUAAUCCAUCGGUUUCGAUCUUCAAAAGUUGCUAGCACAUCUAGAAGAUUGAUUCAUCUUCCUCAAGUCGACGCAAGGGUUAAUUCGUGAUCGGAUUACGGAUUGAAGCGGUCAUCUAAUUCGAUCAAGGGCGUGAUUUCGUGUGGACGCGAGUAGAGGCCGGGCACAUGCGCGGCUAACCGAGGACGAACAAAUUUUUACUAACGAUUGUCGACUUCGCAGUGAUCUCGACCCGCGCGAGGUAAAAUAAAAUAAUAUAGAUCUAGUUUGAUUAGAUCAAUUAGAUCUAUUAUUAAUGAUCUAAAGCGAAACACGAGGUGAUCUUUGGUUUUCAAGAAAAUUUUAAUUGUGUUCUUUUCUUCCGCUGCGUACACAUGAUUUUCUUACAACACGAUCCAUCUGAAACGGUGGUAGAUUUUAUGGGACACGAUCUCGUCGAUCCCGUCUUGUCACGCCCCGGGACCGAUACCAAUUUGGCCCGACCCGAGCACGUCAAACAGACGCCGAACGGACAAAGUUUCCCCUAUCCGCCCAAAGCUCAUCACAUGUACAUUUUCAUCAAUAGAGAAAAGCACGAGCGAAAACAUACACAAACGGCUUACACGAGGGUAAGCAAUAGCCACGAGUGAAAGAAAAAGGAAACUAAACAUUCACUUUGUACUAUGAUUCAAUUUUGAUCAUAUACAUUGCAUUCAUCUUGUUCAUUUUCGAAUUCCUUACAUUUCAUUUCAUCAUUUCUUUCUUACAUCACAUUUACCUCAAAAUACACAUUACAUUCUUUUCUUUACAUCAUUUAUCAUCAUGUACAAAAGAUGAUCAUAGGGUACUUUACUACAAAAUGAAACCCAACUUUGGUGGCCUCUGACUAAGGCGCGAUACCUUUACCUCGGUUGCUCGCCGGCUCGCUCGGUCCCGGCUCUGUGGAAAUAGUGGGGUGAGAACUACAACAAAGUUCCCAGUGGGUUCGGCCUCAACAUCACCGACUUUCCUACUAGGACUAACUCAGGCAUAAUAGAAAGAAUAAGCUACAUAUAGUAACCAAUCUAUACAUGAUGCUAAUAUACCUAAACAAUAAAGCAGAAAUAUGCUCAACAUUAAAUAAAUGCAGAUUAUGCAAAUUCUUUGUUCUUUUCACUUUACUCCUUGUUCUUUGUUUUUUUUGUUCUUUGCACUUUGUUCUUUGCUCUUUGUUCUUUAAUCUCAAGGCUAACCCGAGGGUAUCGCCACAUUGACUUGUUUCACAUUAAGUCCAUCAUCGCAGGAACUCACCCGUUAGGACCGUCCUUCGGGUUUACUCCAACCCGUGAUGCAAAAACUCCAGAGCGCAUCGCCCGAGGGGGAGCGACCGCCCUCGAGCACGGAACUCAUAGCAAGUAUGAUCAUAUCCUUAACUCAGAGGAUUUAUAAGUUCAUGUAAGGACUGAGUUUUUUACGGUGCAACUAAACUCUCUGUUGAUGAUGUUUAUGUGUGUAAUUUAAUUACAUAAGCACCCGUCAAGUUUCAGGAGAAAAUGAGUUAGAACGGAGAAGUUACGCGAUUUUUAAAUUUCACUUAAGUGAAUAGUAACUCCGGUUUUUCGGAGAGGCCAACGCAUGAAGUAGGCUUCUGGCUCGUAUCGGACUCCGUUCAUAGCGAUCCAAUAGCUCGUUUCGAACGGUUCAGCUAUUCUGGAACCAAUGGCACUGACGAAUUUCAGAUCCGAUGCACGGUUUUCGAGAAAUAGGAGUUUUAACAAAAGAGGGUUUCCGCUCUUUGCUAUUCGUGCAUUUUAAAACUCCUCGUGCUUUGUAUAAGUGAUCUAGAGAUGGGUGAGAGAUGUUUCAAGUACCUACUGGUGGUAGGGAAUUCAAAUACGAGUUUGAAUUAAUGGAUUUCGGGUUUCCACCAAGGCCUAUGUGUGAUAUAUGGAUUAGUUGGAGAGAGGUCAGAUUUUGUCGCAAAUCAGCAAGCAAAUCGGAUGAAACGAAAUUGUAGUUUCGAUGCCCCCGUCGUGCUGAACGCGAUGGCACUGUCGGAUCGAAAAUCCGACGGACGGAUUUUCGGGAAACGCGAAAUGUUCACUGAGGGGUCGAAGGUGGCAAAUCGGAAACUUCGCAAAAGUCAUUGUAUUUUAUGUACCGAAUCACUUGAGAUCGAGCGUGGUGGUGCGUAUGCGCAAGUUACGCACAAUGGCAGGGACUAAAUUAUAAAAAUAGGGCUGAGGUGGGUUUUUCUGUAAUUGUACAUAUAUCAUAGAGUUAGGUCACCAUGAAACCCUAACCCUGGGUCCCCUCCUCUUCCUUAACCGCCUCCCUCACGUUCCCCUGCUCUCCCUGCGCGCGCCCCGACCACCUGAGCACGCCGCCGGCCGCCGGAGCUGGCCGCUCUUCCACCUCCUCCAUCACCUUCCACACUUUUCUUUCCACCCUCCUCAGCCACCGAGCUCGGGAAGGCACCUAAACCUAUGAAACCAUCUUCCCUUGGCCGAGAUCCAUCUCUGGUGUCGUUCCCGCCGGUCGCCGCCGCCCCCGAGGUCGCCGGCCGCCACUUCUGCUCUCUGCGCCAGCCCAGACCCGGAGCGGGCCGAGCUUGAGGCCGCAGCGCCUCCGCGCGUCGCCGCCGUCCACCAUCGGGUGCGCCACCUUCCCCUCGACCUCCGGCGCCGUCGCCGUCGUUCCCCGCCGUCCAUGUUGGCUGUGGUGCUGCCUGGACUUGCCGCAGCCGCCCAGACCCGAAGCGGGCCGAGCUUGGGAGAUCUUUGCCUCUGCGCGCCUCCGCCGCUCCUUGCCGGCAGUGCCGCCCUCCAGACACCUCCGGAGACCUCCGGCGUGCACCCCCGGACGUCCCCGACCUGCCCUGGCCGCCGCCGUGGCCGCAGCACCCCCCGGACCCGUGCCCUAGCUCGUGCGGGCAUGCCUUGUUCCGCCGCCGCCUCCGCGGCUUCCAGCCGCCACCCGAGGUGAGCUUGGUACUCCUCACCUCCCCCACAACCUUCCCUGGCCCGCGCGCACCCCGCCGUGCCGCCGGUGGCCGGCCGGAGCAAGCUUGCUCCGGCCAAGCCCGAAAUAGGGCUUAGUUGAGUAGGUUACUGUUCCGAGCAACCCGAGCCUCCCCAAUCUCUGUGGAAGGGAGCACGGUGAUUGUAGAAAAUUGCUGAUCAUCGUGCUCACCUUAGAUUCUACCGGGGAGACUCCGUUCCGCUGUUUCGGCAGUGUCGACCCUGUUGAGCUUUUUCGGCUGCUAUUCCGUGCUUGCGCACGUUUCUCCGGCGAUCCGAGGCUGUUAUGAUGCCUCCAAAGGUGAGCGCGGUGAUCGUUGGUCAGUUCUGAUCACAGUGCUCACCUUACUUUGGAUCAGCGGAUGUCGUAUCGGCCUGUUCGGCGCGAUUUUCUCCGACUGCGCGCUGUUCGCUGAACCUUCGGGUUGCUCCCGCGCUUUCCACAGUGAGCCAUUGUGCUCCAGAUCAUGAGCACGGCCUCCGGUACGUCGAGACCUAUCAGUACGUGUCUCGGCGGACCUUGGAAGUCCUCAGUUUGCAUGAACGAGCCAUGUUAUCGCCCGAUUUACAUAAACUAUUGGGAUUUUAUGUAAAGUGAGGGGCUUUUGUGCAAUUGUGCAUUAUGUGGCUACUGUGGGCAGUGUAUAGGCGUGUGUGGUGACCUCUGGACUGAUUGUCCAUGAUCUGUUAGCUUUUGCGGAAAUCGAAGAGUCGAUUUCGAUGCGUUUUUCGGCGAAAUUCGCUGAAAGAACGUGGUUUCGGUUCGGAUUUCUUCCGACAUCGUUUGGUUGCUCUGUGAGUAGUCUCUAAGCCUCGUUGGCUGGUCACCAUCAUCACAUUGUGGGUUCGGUGAUGACGGGUGAGCGACGGUGGGUUCCGGUGUCGAAAUAGACACUUUCGGGAACCCGGAUUCGUACAAUUAUCCGACGAUAAUUGUGUAGUGGUGUUAUCUUGUGUUUGCUACCAAAACAUCCAAAUUGGAAUGUUUUGGGGCAGCAGGUGACUCGUAGUAUGAGUCGGUGCGUUUCGAGACAAUUCAGUGGUCCCAACGGAGUCUCGGUGCGGUUUUCGGGACUUCCGGUUUGUUCGGUAAUCGGUUUUGGGAAACCGAUCUCCGUGGGAUUGUCUGUGGGUUGUGUAUUCAGUGGUUUAUUUGUGGGGUUAUGCUUUUAGGGUUUCUUAGUUGUGGGUUAGACACUAACCCAGUGGACCCUCCUUAGGUCCUGUUGACGUUCUUUUGCAGUCAGGAGACAGGCGCGACAGUUGUACAGGUGGGUACUUCGAUCCGACGUUGGUACAGUGGUGCACGCUCGGUGAUGGUUUCUUACCCUUGCUCUUUUGUUAUUAUCCAUCCUUAUAUUAUAUGUUGAGCUUUGCACCUCUAUUGUUUACAUUACACCCACGUUGUUAGAUUAUACUCUACUCAGAUGUUUCCAUACUUAGUAUCAUGUGUAGGAGUAUAGUCUAUCUGUAUGUGAUACCAUGUUUCCUUGUUGCUCUACUUAGCUAUUCUGCAUACCCUGUUUCAUAUUUAUAGUAGAGCGAUUCUGUGAUUAUCUGUGAGAUUAGCGAUCUAGUCGGUCGAUUCUAGUAUUCAGUAUUUGUGACCUAUUCAGUGAGUUCCUCGACCUUUGUUGUCUGAUGACCGUUGAGGUUGGCAUACCCUGAGGGGUGGGAUUAGGGGUGGAACUGGGCCCGGGCCUAAACAAGGCCCGGCCCAAUGGGCCAUGUUUGGGCCGGGCUUUGGGUAUUAAAAAUACAACUUUGGGUUCGAGCUGGGUUUAAAAAUUUAGGCCCGAAAAAAUUUUGGGCCUAUUUGGGCACGUCCCAGCCCGACCCGAGCCCGACCCAAAAGCCCGAUAUCUUAAUUAUCAAAAUAAAAUAUUUAAUUAUAUAUAUUAUUUAUUUAUUAAAAGAAAUAAAUGAUAUAGUAUAUCAUAUAUAGUAUAUAUUGUUAUUAAUGAUAUGUACUUAUAUAUAUGAGGAUAUAUUAUAUAUUAACAAAAUAUUUAGUUCUAUAUUAUGAUAUACUUGAUCUUAGAUAUUAAUUUCUUUGAUGUGAUAAAACUAAAAAUAGGUAUUUUAUUUUAAUUUUAUACAAAUAAAAGUAUUCAUAUAUUAUAUGAUAAAUGCAUAAAAUGGGCCUCCACAAAGCCCGAUGGGUAUUGGGCAAUUGGGCUUGGGCUUGGCGCGGGCCUUAAUUUUUAAAAAAAUUGGGUAAAAGCCCGACCGAAGCCCAACAUUAUUUUUUGGGCCGGGCUUGGGCAUAGUAAUACCCGACCCAAUCCCGGCCCCAGUUUCCACCCCUAGGUGGGAUUGUCGGUUAGUUGCGACGGAUGAUUUAUCUUUACUCAUAUCUUAUAUUUGUGACAUGAUUGUCGAGUUUCAUAUCCUAUACUUGUGACGUAAUUGGUCGAGUUUCAUAUCCUAUACUUGUGACAUGAUUGGUCGAGUUUCAUAUCCUGUACUUGUGACGUAAUGCGUCGAGUUUCAUACCUAGUUGAUCUGAGUGGUCAGUCCUUGUGGUUCAUUGAGCAGUAUUUGCAUAUGUUUGGAGGGAUGUCGAUGUUUGUCCCAUCCUAGUUGACCUGAGUGGUCGGUUCUUGUGCUUCUUUACAGUUGACGACCUAUGCGGUCGAUGGGCCCUGGAGGGCAGGAUUGUCGGCUGGUUGCCGACGGUUAAUCAUUGAACAAAUGCAUUGAUCGCCGCGAUACUCGUCGCAUUUCACGAACACUGGCGGUCUGAUCCCACCAACAAGGAAUGUUCUUUUCCGGAAAAGUGGUUGAAUGGUGACAACUCGUGAGCCCUAGAGGGGUUAUAUGCACUUGAGAGUAGUAGUGGCAUUGGCUUGAGGUCUCCGUGCUGACCAAGAGCGCAUUGGUUUCAAAUUUGGUAGUUUUGGACUUCUUGACCGGUGACGCAUAUGUCUAUCGUAGCAGUCGUUGCAUGCAUACUUACAGUUCUUACUUUAUAGUUGUCUUGCUACUAUAGUAGAUAUUCAUGUAUGCUUUCUGUUCCAGUUACAGUAGCGGUAGCCGUUAUUCAAUCUAGUUCCUACUUUCUUUCAGUUUAUUGCUACUGUAUUCAGUAUAUCUGCUCAUCACCUUAUACAUCUCUUUCGUUUAUUAUUGUUCCUACUAUAUUUCUACUGACCGGUGUUGUUAUAUAGCUCUCCUGAUCCGGUGAGUACUCCUCGCCUCUUCGGCUUGCGGUACCCACUGGGAGGGGAGACAUAUUUACAUGUUCUCACCUCCCCCACUAUUUUUCAGGUAUCGCGGGCGGUAAGGGUUGAGACUGGACGUGAGAUACGUAGCAGUCGAUAGAACUUCUAACCAGGUUAUUCGGUUUAGUUCUACCCUUACUAUUAUGUUGAUAUAGCUUAAAUAGUUUAUAUGGUUCAGUAUAUUUUAUUACAUUUGAAAUAUUGGUUUUCAUGAAUGUAAUAAAUGGAUUUGUGAAUUUUGUGAAAUGGAAAGGUUUCUACCCUCGUGUAGCGUUUUUAAAAUAAAGGUUUCUGUAUAGGAAACAGUUUUCAAAAGAAUUUUCUGUGGAUUUAUGUUUAAAUAUUAAAUCAAAUCUGUGAUGUGAAUGGUGAAUGUAUGAAUGUAUGAAUGAAUAAUUAUUUCUAUAUCAUUUAGUUGUGGUUGUAUCCUGUUUGUACUGUUGUAUUGUCGACGCCUGCAAAUACAGGGGAGACUCUGUCCGUGUGAACAGUGGAAUUCCUGAUUUGUGGCGGAUCUGGCAUACUCUGGGGUCAGGUUUUCAAAAAAAAAAAAAAUUUAGACGCUUUUUUCGCUGUGUUCAAACAAAAAGAGACCCGGGGCAUGACAGUUCAAUCUUGACUUUAAACUAGCUCUAGUGUUUCUUUCAUCACUUUUUGUUGCCUACUAGCAAUCAUUGUUCUUUACCAUUCAUUACUCUUGCUAACUCUAGCAAUCAUAUUCUUUACAUUCUUUACUUUUGGCUACCUCUAGCACUUCAUGUUCUUUACUCCCACAUUACUUUAACUUUAACCAUUGUCAUUUUCAUCAUUCUUUAUAUUACAUUAGUUCUUUACCUCACACUAUCUCUAGUGUCAUUUCAGUUAACUUUACCGAAUGCCACUCGAUCUAUGUCAUUGUGUCACUCGUUCUUUUGCUCACUUUGGGUGCUCACUUUUCUCUCAUGCAUACACAGAUUUUUGACGUUCACAUAGUUCUCAUUCAUCAUAUUAUGCAAUUUGUACUCACAAUCAUGCUGUGACACCCAAUAAUCCCACAUCGGAUGGAAAUGGGGUUGUCAUUGGGUUAUAAUAGACUUAGACACUAGUAAUAAUAACUGGGGCUUAACAUUUUGGCUGGUUGUUGGCCAACGAGUUAUUGUUGCUAGUGGGCUGGUCGUUACAUUUGGUAUCAGAGCCGGUUCACCAGCUGGACAUGUAUGGCGAGUCUCGGUAAGCCAGGGUCUGGAUGACGGGCUAGCGAGACGGAUCUCACAUCGCCUCUGAUCUUGGGCUGUGUGUGUGAUUGGAUCCCACCACCUCGGCCAGAUCUGCUCAGAUCUGGCCGCAACUGUCGAGGGUGGUGGUGGCGGCGCUCGGGGGCGGCCGGGACGGCGGUGGCCAGCGGCGAUGAUGUUGGAGAAUGGUCUCGGCCAGAGGUGGGAGUCCGAGGUGUGGGUUCACCCUGGUAGCAGCACAAGUGGGUGUGAAGGGUGUGAAACAAGGAACAAUGGAGAGGUGGAGGAGCAGCCAGCUCCGGCGGGCGGCAGCGUGCUGCGUGAGCACCGGCUCCGCCUGGUUGGCCGCAUCCGUCCACCGCGGCUAACCCGCCGCCGGAGCUCUCUUGUCAACCGAAGUGAGCCCAUGCUCUCCUCGGUUGUGCACUAGGGCAUCGUUCCGCCGUCGUCGCCGCUCCCGUCGCCUGUUGACGCGAGCCCCGCCCUCCUCUGACCUGGAGCACCUUCUUGGCCGGCCUGCCCGCCGUCCAGCCGCCGCCGGCCACCCGAGCCCUGCCUAGCUCCGUAACUUGUAUUGCUAUUAUUGUGCACUGUUUGGGGUUGUGUAUACUGUUCCGGCCACGAGGCUGUUCCGAUGCCUCCAGAAGUGAGCACGGAUCAUCAGUCAGUGCUGAUCACAGUGCUCACCUCAAUUAGGGUCAGUGAGCCCCUGGUUAGCGAGAUAAGCAUGCUUUUCAUGCUGUGCGUGCUGUUCGCAGACUUUCGCAUCACCCCGCGCUCUCUACAGUGGCCGAAAUGGCUCCGAAAGGUGAGCACGGCCUCCGGCACGUCGAAACCUGUCAGUGGGUAUCUUGGCUCGGCUGAUUGACCUCUGGUUUGCAUGGACGGACCAUAAAAGUGCCGAAAUCGCAUGAAAUAUGCGAUUUCGGGUAUUCAGAAGGGCUUUUAUGCAACUUUGUUCGUCGCGGCAUCGCCUGUUGGCAGCAAGUAUGGGCUGAGGAUAACCUCCGGACUGAUUGUCCAAGGCCCCGGACCUUUGCGAAGAUCGAAAAGGGCAUUCCGGUGCGUUUGUCGGCAAAAUCCGCCGACGGAACGCGGUUUCUGUUCGGAAUUAUUCCGAUGGUGUCUCGGGAUGAUUUAUUGUGUCGCUGAGCCUAGUUGGUCGGUCACCCGUGUCAUUUCGAGGGUUCGGAAAUGACGGGUGAGCGACGGUGGGUUCCGGUGUCGAAAUAGACACUUCCGGGAACCCGGUUCGGAACGAUUAUCCGACGAUAAUCGUUUUGGAGUGAGUUAAGGUCUUUGCUGCCAAGUCGCAUGUAAAUUGUAUUUAGUGGCAGCGGGUGACUCGUAGUACGAGUUGGUGAGUUCCGGGACAGUCCGUGAGUCCCGGCAGAGUCUCGGUGCGGUUUUCGGGACUUCCGUUUUGUUCGGUAAUCGGUUUUGGGAAACCGAUCUCCGUGGUUUAUUUGUGGGGUUAUGCUUUUAGGGUUUCUUAGUUGUGGGUUAGACACUAACCCAGUGGACCCUCCUUAGGUCCUGUUGACGUUCUUUUGCAGUCAGGAGACAGGCGCGACAGUUGUACAGGUGGGUACUUCGAUCCGACGUUGGUACAGUGGUGCACGCUCGGUGAUGGUUUCUUACCCUUGCUCUUUUGUUAUUAUCCAUCCUUAUAUUAUAUGUUGAGCUUUGCACCUCUAUUGUUUACAUUACACCCACGUUGUUAGAUUAUACUCUACUCAGAUGUUUCCAUGCUUAGUAUCAUGUGUAGGAGUAUAGUCUAUCUGUAUGUGAUACCAUGUUUUCUUGUUGCUCUACUUAGCUAUUCUGCAUACCCUGAUUCGUGUUUAUAGUAGAGCGAUUCCGUGAUUAUCUGUGAGAUCAGCGAUCUAGUCGGUCGAUUCUAGUAUUCAGUAUUUGUGACCUAUUCGAUGAGUUCCUCGACCUUUGUUGUCUGAUGACCGUUGAGGUCGGUAUACCCUGAGGGGUAGGAUUGUCGGUUAGUUGCCGACGGAUGAUUAUAUUUUACUCAUAUUCACUAUUUGACAUGUUUGUGACCUAGUCGGUCAGUGCAUCAUAUCCUAUACUUGUGACAUGAUUGGUCGAGUUUCAUGUCCUAUACUUGUGACGUGGUUGGUCGAGUUUCAUAUCCUAGUUGAUCUGAGUGGUCAGUCCUUGUGGUUCAUUGAGCAGUAUUUGCAUAUGUUUGAGAGGAUGUCGAUGUUGUCCCAUCCUAGUUGACCUGAGUGGUCGGUUCUUGUGCUUCUUUACAGUUGACGACCUAUGCGGUCGAUGGGCCCUGGGGGGCAGGAUUGUCGGCUGGUUGCUGACGGUUGAUCAUUGAGCAUAUUGCAUUGAUCGCCCGAUACUCGUCGCAUUUCACGAACACUGGCGGUCUGAUCCAUCGCAAGGAGUGUUCUUUUUCGGAAAAGUGGUUGAAUGGUGACAACCCGUGAGCCCUAGAGGGGUUAUAUGCACUGGAGAGUAGUAGUGGCAUUGGCUUGAGGUCUGCGGUGCUGACCAAGAGAGCAUUGGUUUUAGAUUGGGUACUUUUGGACUGAUUAUCCCGUUGACGCAUACGCCUAUAGUAGCAGUUGUUGCAUGCAUACUUACAGUUCUUUCUAUAUACUUGUCUUGCUACUAUAGUUUGAUACCCAGGUAUGUUUUAUAUUCUUCUUGCAGUAGCGGUAGUUGUUCUUAUACAUUCUGUUCAUGUAUUAUUGUUGCUACUGUAUUUAGUAUAUAUGCCCAUUACCUUAUACAUCUCUUUCGUUUACUAUUGUUCCUACUGUAUUCCCACUGACCCGUAUUGUUAUAUAGCUCUUCCUGAUCUGGUGAGUACUCCUCGCCUUCUUCGGCUUGCGGUACCCACUGGGAGGGGAGACAUGUUUACAUGUUCUCACCUUUCCUACCAUUUUUCAGGUAUUGUAGGCGAUGAGUUUUGGGACGAGACGUGAGGUACGUUCGUAGCGGUCGAUAGAGCUUCCGACCCAGGUUAUUGGUUUAGUUCCUACCCUUACUAUUCUGUUGUUAUAGCUUAGAUAGUUAUAUGGUUCAGUAUUUUUAUUACAUUUGAAUAUGUGGAUUUUCGUGAAUGUAAUAAACGAAUUUCUGGAUUUUGUAAAAUAAAAUAUUUUCUACCCCUCGUGGUAGCGUUUUUUUAAAAGAUAAAAGUUCCUGUGUAGGAAACAGCUUUCAAAAGGUUUUCUGUGAUUUUGUAUCUUAGUAUUUCAAAACCUAUUUCUGUGGUUGGAAACAUUUUAACUGAUAAGUGUGGAUUUAUGCAUAAAUGUGAAUCUGUGGUGAAUGGUGUAUGAAUAUAUAUAACGGUUGGUUAUUUGUAUGUUCAUUUGUUGUGGUUGUGCCUGGAUGACUUCUUGUACUUGUGCGACGCCGUGCAAAUACAGGGGAGACUCUGUCCGUGUGAACAGUGGAUUUCCUGUAUUUGUGGCGGAUCUGGCAUACUCUGGGGUCAGGUUUUCAAAAAAAAAAUAAUCAGACGCUUUUCCGCUUUGUUUUAAACUGAAAAGGGAUCCCGGGGUGUGACCGAUUAAAUCGUUGGGCUCAGUCAACAGCCUAAAAUGCUUAAGCCCAAAAUGCGAUUUCAUGUAUCGGUAUGGGCUUUUAGGACUUUUGCUUCGAUGUAGAUGCUGUUGACAGCACGUUUGGGCUGAGGAUAACCUCUGGACUGAUCGUCCAAGGCCCCAAGCCCUUGCGGAAAUCGAAAAGUGAUUUUCGAUGCGUUUUUCGGCGAAAUCCGCCGAUAGAACACGGUUUCGAUUAGGAAUUCAUCCGACGGUGCCUCGUGGUUGAUUGUAGCGUCGCUGAGCCUUGUUGGCUGGUCACCCGCGUCGUUUCGAGGGUUCGAAAACGACAGGUGAGCGACAGUGGAAUUCCGGUGCGGUUUUCGGAACUUCGGGCUUGUUCAGUAAUCGGUUUUGGGAAACCGGUUCUCGUGGUUCUGGUGAGUGGGGAUUGUGUGUUAGCGAGACAUGUUAGUGGGUUAGAUUCUAACCCGUUGGACCUUUCGUAGGUUCGAUUGUUUCGUCUGCACAGUCGAGAGAUCUUCGUCAGACACGUACAAGUGGGUACUUCGAUCUGACGUUGGUGCAGUGGUGCACGCUCGGUGAUGGUUUCCUACCCUUGCUCUUUUGUUAUUAUCCAUGCAUAUAUUAUAUGUUGAGCUUUGCACCUCUAUCGUUUACAUUACACCCACGUUGUUUGAUUAUACUCUACUCAGACGUUUCCAUGCUUAGUAUCAUGUGUAGGAGUAUAAUCUAUCUGUGAUGUGAAUGGUGAAUGUAUGAAUGUAUGAAUGAAUAAUUAUUUCUAUAUUCAUUUAGUUGUGGUUGUAUCCUGUUUGUACUGUUGUACUUGUGCGACGCCGUGCAAAUACAGGGGAGACUCUGUCCGUGUGAACAGUGGAAUCCCUGUAUUUGUGGCGUAUCUGGCAUACUCUGGGGUCAGGUUUUCAAAAAAAAAAAAAAAUAGACGCUUUUUCCGCUGUGUUCAAAUAAAAAGGGACCCCGGGGCGUGACAGAUUAAAGAGGUAUCAGACCCCGGGGUCCCUUUUAGGUUAAAAUUCUAGUUGCUGAUGACCUAUACGGUCGAUGUGCCCUGAGGGGCUGGGUUGUCGUCUAGUUGCCGAUGGAAGAUCUUUGAGCAUACUACAUUGAUCGCCACUCCAGGUACGCAUUUCACGAACACCAGCGGUCUGAUCCACCGCAAGAGGGUGUUCUUUUCCGGAAAAGUGGUUGGAUUGCCAACCCGUGAGCCCAGGGGCUUUAUUGCGAGGGUAUAUGCUUCUGACCCAGGGGCUUCAUUGCGAGGGUCAGGUACAGGGUGAGCAGAGUGGCAUGGGCCUGAGGUCUUCGGACCAAUAGGGCAGCGAGAUUGAGUACUUUUGAGGUUAUCGUCAGUUGACGCAUGCAUACAGUAGCUGUAGUGUUUAUUUUCAGUACAUCCUUAUCUGUUUAUUGUAGUUACUGUUUUAUUUACCUGCAUCUAUACUUGUCAGCUCCCUACUUAUCAGCAUCUUGCUACUAUAGUUUAGCUGCAUGUAUACUUUCAGUUGUUCAUUACAGUAGCCGUAGUUGUACUUUCAUUUAUAGUUCUAUCUUUUUCGUUCAUUAUUGUUGCUACUGUAUUUAGUAUUUCACUUACCCAUAUUGUUGUUUAUCUCUCCCUGAUCCGGUGAGUACUUAUCGCCUUCAUCGGCUUGCGGUACCCACUGGGAGGGGAGAUAUGUUUACAUGUUUUCACCUCCCCCACCAUUUUUCAAGUAUUGCGGGCGAUGAGGUUUAGACGAGACGUGAGACACGUUCGUAGUGGUCGCUAGAGCUUCCGAUCCAGUUUGUUGGUUUAGUUCCUACCCUGUUUACUUUUGUUAUUAAUAGCUUUAAUAUUUCAUGGUUCAGUAUUUCAUUAUGUUUAGUUAUUCAAGAUUAUAAUUGGUUUUACGAAUGAGAUAAAGAUUUCUAAAUUUUCGUAAAUAAAAGGUUUUCUACCCCUCGUGGUAGCAUUUUUAAAAGAUAAAAGUUUUCGUGUAGGGAACAGUUUUCAAAAGGUUUUCCGUGGAUUUAUACUUGAACUAUGAAUGAUAAAUCUGUGAUGAAUGGUGAAUGAAUAGUGAUUGUUUUUUUUUAAUUCAUUAUGGUGGUUGUAUCCUGGUUAUACUCUUGUACUUGUGCGACGCCGUGCAAAUACAGGGAAGACUCUGUCCGUGUGAACAGUGAAUUUUCUGUAUUUGUGGCGAAUCUGGCAUACCCUGGGGUCAGGUUUUCAAAAAAAAAAAUUCCGCUGUGUUUUAACCUAAAAGGAACCUCGGGGAGUGACAGAUUAAAGUGGUAUCAGACCCCGGGGCUCUGAUACCAAAUGUAACGACCCAGCCCACUAGCAAUAAUAAAUCGUUGGGCCCAGUCAACAACCCAAAAUGCUUAAGCCUAGUUAUUAUUACUAGUGUCUAAGUCUCUUAUAAACCCAAUGACAACCCUAUUCCCAUCCGAUGUGGGACUAUUGGGGUGUCACAGACUUCCCCCGUUAAGGUCCUGACGUCCUCGUCAAUCCAAUCACACACAGCCCAAGAUCACCAAGCUAUGUGAGACUCGUCUCGCUAGCCCGUCAUCCAGACCCUAGCUCAGCCGAGACUCGCCACACAUGUCCAACUGGUGAACCGGCUCUGAUACCAAAUGUAACGACCCAGCCCACUAGCAACAAUAACUCGUUGGGCCCAACAACCAGCCCAAAAUGCUUAAGCCCAGUUAUUAUUACUAGUGUCUAAAUCUAUUAUAAACCUAAUGACAACCCCAUUUCUAUCCGAUGUGGGAUUAUUGGGGUGUCACAAACUCCCUCCGUUAAGGCUCUGACGUCCUCGUCAGUCAAAUCACACACAGCCCAAGAUCACCAGGCGAUGUGAGACUCGUCUCACUAGCCCGUCAUCCAGACCUUGGCUCAGCCGAGACUCGCCACACAUGUCCAGCUAGUGAACCGGCUCUGAUACCAAAUGUAACGACCUAGCCCACUAGCAAUAAUAAAUCGUUGGGCCCAGUCAACAGCCCAAAAUGCUUAAGCCCAGUUAUUAUUACUAGUGUCUAAGUCUCUUACAAACCCAAUGACAACCCUAUUCCCAUCCGAUGUGGGACUAUUGGGGUGUCACAGACUCCCCCCGUUAAGGUUCUGAUGUCCUCGUCAGUCCAAUCACACACAGCCCAAGAUCACCAGGCUAUGUGAGACUCGUCUCGCUAGCCCGUCAUCCAGACUCUGGCUCAGCCGAGACUCGCCACACAUGUCCAGCUGGUGAACCGGCUCUGAUACCAAAUGUAACGACCCAGCCCACUAGCAACAAUAACUCGUUGGGCCCAACAAUCAGCCCAAAAUGCUUAAGCCCAGUUAUUAUUACUAGUGUCUAAGUCUAUUAUAAACCCAAUGACAACCCCAUUUCUAUCCGAUGUGGGAUUAUUGGGGUGUCACACAUGCAUCAUUAUAUUUUCAUCAUUACUUUACCCUAAAAUGCAUGCAACAAUAUAUUUACACAUGCUCAAAUGAAUGACACAUUAGGCAUAGAGAGAAGUUCAAUGAGUUUGAGAAGCACCACCCACCUCGUAGGCUUUCAAAGGUGCUCCGACGAUUUUUUUUGGGAUUUUUAGGCUUCUCGUUCUUUACCUGCGGCAAAACGAAGCCCUAAUAGGUCAUUUUGCUCAUAUCUUUUCAUUGGUUCUUCGUAAUGUUAAUCCGAGCGCACCAACGCGUCGGAAAUACCCCCAAUUAGGUUUCUAGAGGGUCAAUUGCAUUUAGAAAUCCCCAUGAGCAAAAGCCCCAAUUUGGGUGCCCUAGCUCCAUAGCAUCAUCAAACCUAGGGUUUGAUCUCAAAGAGAAGCAAAAGUAGCUUCAUUAUACUCUAAAAAACUCAUUAGAACCAUCUUUAGACAAAUCAAAACCCUACUUAGGGUUUCACCAUGAGAGGUGAUGAAGCUCACCUCAUGCUUCACCAUUUCUAUGGUCUUAAUCUCAAAAGAAGCAAAAGAAAAGCUUCAAAUACUCAAAUGGUUCCAUAAAACCCAUUUUAAGCUUAAUCCAAACCCUAGAUUAGGUUCUACCAUGAUUAGGGUUCAAAGCUUACCUUGUAAGCUCUCCUUUUCCAAGCUAGAGAUGAGGGAGAGGGAGUUUCUCCACUUCCUCUUCUUCUUCUCCACUUUCUUCUUCUUCUUUUCCUACUUUCCCUUCUCUUCUUCUUCUCCUUCUUUGUCUUCUAGAGAGAGAAAGAGAGAUGAGAGUAGGAGAGGGAGUGAAAUGAGAGAAAUAUCUCAUUUACCCUCUAACUAUACUCAAUGGAUUGCCAAAAUGCAAAUAAACCCCUCAACUUUCACCUUAUUCAACUGCCUGGACAGUGCAGAUUUCGGGCUCGGGGACCGGUCUCCACGACUAGGGACCGGUCUCCGAGAGCUCUCCCAGCGCAGCCAGAGCUGCUGCGCGCAAUGCGACCGGUCUCUCUUUGAGGGGACCAAUCUCUGGGGGACCGGUCUCUCGGGGAGGGACCGGUUCCCGAGAGCUGAUUCUCAGGGACUUAGCCGAUUUUUCGGCUGUCUCAUUUCAUACGCGUUCGGAGACCGGUCUCUCCUUCAGGGACCGGUCCCCGAGAGCUGCAAACCUGCAGAAUGCAUAUUUCACAAUUUUAGCUCUCGAAAACCUCCCUUAACUCACUUUCGAUCAUUUUAACACAUUCGGACUUUCCGAAGUGUACCAUCCUCGCACUUUGGUCAAUUUGACUAAAGUUCGAUAUUUAUUUUCUGAAUUUUCGGUAUAUUACACGUCUAAAACGGAAAUAGGGGACGGAUGCUGUGGCGGAGAGAGGAGAAGAAACGAUUUAUUGUAACGGACAUGAGAAGAAGCAAGAUCGCGCGAAGGGGGAGCGAUUUACUGUAACAGACAUGAGAAGAAGCAAGGUCGUGCGGAGGCGGAGCGAUUUACUAUUUUUCGUGAAGAAUAAGCAUGGUCGCGUGUAUUGGUUCAGUUUGAUUUAGAGGUUUAGAUAGUGAACGGUUCGCAUCGGUUCAGUUUGGUCCUAUUCGGUUUAGAGGUUCAGAGAGAGGCAGUUCAAUAGUUCGUUGCAGAUGUUUAGAGACAACAGUUCUAUAGGCAAAAUAGGCAAAACUGUAGCAACGAUGAGGGUAGAACAAUCGACCAGGGUAGACGAAUCGGCGGACGGUAGAUUUGAUGAGACACGAUCCAUCUGAAAUGGUGGUAGAUUUUAGGAGACAUGAUCUCGUCGAUCCCGUCUAAAACUGAAAUAGGGGACGGAUGCUGCGGCGGAGAGAGAAGAAGAAACGAUUUAUUUAAUGGACAUUAGAAGAAGCAAGGUCGCGCGGAGGGAGAGCGAUUUAUUGUAACGAACAUUAGAAGAAACAAGGUCGUGCGGAGGCGGAGCGAUUUACUAUUUUUCGUGGAGAAGAAGGAAGGUCGUGUGUAUUGGUUUGGUUUGAUUUAGAGGUUUAGAUAGUGAACGGUUCGCUUCGGUUCGGUUUGGUUCGGUUUGGUUCAGAGGUUCAGAGAGAAGUAGUUCAAUGAUUCGGUUCAGCUGUUUAGAGACAACAGUUCGGUUCGGUUCGGUUCAGAGGUUCAGGAGAGACAGUUCAAGACUAAAUUACCAGUCAUUCUGGAAAGUAAUAAACGGUUAGAAAUUCUAUGUUGAUCAAAAAGGAACAAUUCAUGGCAAAGAGAACUACUAACCUGAAACUCUAGCAAGAAGGAAACGUCCACAUCUUGUAAAUGUGAGCGUCGAUUUCUAGGGAUAAGACAAUAAGAUUAUUAUAUAAGAAAGAAAUAUUUGAUCUGAAUACCUAAAUUUCUUAUCGUUCAGAUUUUGGAAUAAUAACAUCAGAUGAUGGUUUCUAAUUGAGGCAAGGAUGGAUAUUAUAGGCAAAAUUGUAGCAGCGAGGAAGGUAGAAGAAUCGGCCAAGGUAGAGGAAUCGACAGACAGUACAUUUGAUGAGACACGAUCCAUCUGAAACGGUGGUAGAUUUUAUGAGACAUGAUCUCGUCGAUCCCGUCUAAAAUGGAAAUAGGGGACAGAUGCUGCGGCGGAGAGAGGAGAAGAAACGAUUUAUUGUAACGGACAUGAGAAGAAGUAAGGUCGCGCGAAGGGGGAGCGAUUUACUAUAACAGACAUGAGAAGAAGCAAGGUCGUGCGAAGGCGGAGCGAUUUACUGUUUUGCGUGGAGAAGAAGCAAGGUCGUGUGUAUUGGUUUGGUUUGAUUUAGAGGUUUAGAUAGUGAACGGUUCGCUUCGGUUCGGUUUGGUUCGGUUUGGUUCAGAGGUUCAGAGAGAGGUAGUUCAAUAGUUCGGUUCAGAUGUUUAGAGACAACAGUUCGGUUCGUUUCGGUUCAGAGGUUCAGAGAGAGACAGUUCAAGACUAAAUUACAAAUCAUUCUAGAAAAUAAUAAACGGUUAGAAAUUCUAUGUUGAUCAAAAAGGAACAAUUCAUGGCAAAAAGAACUACUAACCUGAAACCCUAGCAAGAAGGAAACGUUUAGAUCUUGUAAAUGUGAGCAUCGAUUUCUAGGGAUAAGAUAAUAAGAUUAUUAUAUAAGAAAGAAAGAUUUGAUCUUAAUAUCUAAAUUUCUUAUCGUUCAGAUUUUGGAAUAAUAACAUCAGAUGAUGGUUUCGAUCUGAAGCAAGGAUGGAUUUUAUAGGCAAAAUUGUAGCAGCGAGGAAGGUAGAAGAAUCGGCCAUGGUAGAGGAAUCGACAGACGGUAGAUUUGAUGAGACACGAUCCAUCUGAAACGGUGGUAGAUUUUAUGAGACACGAUCUCGUCGAUCCCAUCUAAAACGAAAAUAGGGGACGGAUGCUGCGGCAAAGAGAGGAGAAGAAACGAUUUAUUGUAACGGACACGAGAAGAAGCAAGGUCGCGCAGAGGGGGAGCGAUUUACUGUAACAGACAUGAGAAGAAGCAAGGUCGUGCGGAGGCAGAGGGAUUUACUAUUUUUCUUGGAGAAUAAGCAAGGUCGCGUGUAUUGGUUCAGUUUGAUUUAGAGGUUUAGAUAGUGAACGAUUCGCAUCAGUUCAGUUUGGUCCUGUUCGGUUUAGAGGUUCAGAGAGAGGUAGUUCAAUGGUUCGGUUCAGAUGUUUAGAGACAAUGGUUCUAUAGGAAAAAUAGGCAAAAAUGUAGCAGCGAUGAGGGUAGAAGAAUCGGCCAGGGUAGAGGAAUCGGCGGACGGUAGAUUUGAUGAGACACGAUCCAUCUGAAACGGUGGUAGAUUUUAUGAGACACGAUCUCGUCGAUCCCAUCUGAAAUAGAAAUAGGGGACGGAUGCUGCGGCGGAGAGAGGAGAAGAAACGAUUUAUUGUAACGGACAUGAGAAGAAGCAAGGUCGCGCGGAGGGGAAGAGAUUUAUUGUAACGGACAUGAGAAGAAGCAAGGUCGUGCGGAGGCAGAGCGAUUUACUGUUUGGCGUGGAGAAGAAGCAAGGUCGUGUGCAUCGGUUUGGUUUGAUUUAGAGGUUUAGAUAGUGAACGGUUCGCAUCGGUUCGGUUUGGUUCGGUUUGGUUCAGAGGUUCAGAGAGAGGUAAUUCAAUGGUUCGGUUCAGAUGUUUAGAGACAACAGUUCGGUUCGGUUCGGUUCGGUUCGGUUCGGUUCGGUUCAGAGGUUCAGAGAUAGGCAGUUCAAGACUAAAUUACCAAUCAUUCUAGAAAAUAAUAAACGGUUGGAAAUUCUAUAUUGAUCAAAAAGGAACAAUUCAUGGCAAAGAGAACUACUAACCUGAAACCCUUGCAAGAAGGAAACGUCCAGAUCUUGUAAAGGUGGGCGUUGAUUUCAAGGGAUAAGACAAUAAGAUUAUUAUAUAAGAAAGAAAGAUUUGAUCUGAAUACCUAAAUUUCUUAUCGUUCAGAUUUUGGAUUAAUAACAUUAGAUGAUGGUUUCAAUCUAAGGCAAGGAUGGAUUUUAUAGGCAAAAUUGUAGCAGCGAGGAAGGUAGAAGAAUCGGCCAGGGUAGAGGAAUCGGCAGACGGUAGAUUUGAUGAGACACGAUCCAUCUGAAACGGUGGUAGAUUUUAUGAGACACGAUCUCGUCGAUCCCGUCUAAAACGGAAAUAGAGGACGGAUGCUGCGGCGGAGAGAGGAGAAGAAAUGAUUUAUUGUAACGGACGGGAGAAGAAGCAAGGUCGCGCAGAGAGGGAGCAAUUUACUGUAACAGACAUGAGAAGAAGGUCGUGCGGAGGUGGAACGAUUUGCUAUUUUUCGUGGAGAAUAAGCAAGGUCGCGUGUAUUGGUUCAGUUUGAUUUAGAGGUUUAGAUAGUGAACGGUUCGCAUCGGUUCAGUUUGGUCCUGUUCGGUUUAGAGGUUCAGAGAGAGGCAGUUCAAUGGUUCGGUUCAGAUGUUUAGAGACAACGGUUCUAUAGGCAAAAUAGGCAAAAAUGUAGCCGCGAGGAUGGUAGAAGAAUCGGCCAGAGUAUAGGAAUUGGCGGACGGUAGAUUUGAUGAGACACGAUCUAUCUUAAACGGUGGUAGAUUUUAUGAGACACGAUCUCGUCGAUCCCGUCUGAAACUGAAAUAGGGGACGGAUGCUGCGGCGAAGAGAGAAGAAGAAACGAUUUAUUGUAACGGACAUGAGAAGAAGCAAGGUCGCGCGGAGGGGGAGCGAUUUAUUGUAACGGACAUGAGAAGAAGCAAUGUCGUGCAGAGGCCGAGCGAUUUACUGUUUGGCGUGGAGAAGAAGCAAGGUCGUGUGUAUUGGUUUAGUUUGAUUUAGAGGUUUAGAUAGUGAACGGUUCGCUUCGGUUCGGUUUGGUUCGGUUUGGUCCAGAGGUUCUGUCACGCCCUGCCCCGGAGCCACUACCAAUUUGACACGAUUCGGGCGCGGAGGGCGGACCGCCGAACAGACAGCACCUCCCCUAUCCGCCCAAGGCUCAACAACAGAAAUGUGUACAAGAAUUUAUCCAGGAAUUCAAAUUCUAAACAUACACAUUCAACGGGGCACAAACAGUGCCAACAACCAAGAGUAAGUAAUCCACGAGAUAUACAAGUGAAAUAAAGAGAGUACUUUACUAACUAUUACAAUAGUUUGAAUUCUUUUUCAUGUACAUCUUUUCCCCAAAAUGAAUACAUUUGUUCAUCAAUAUACAUAGCUCUCUAACCUCACCUACAUAAAUUUCUCUCUCAAUACAUAGGUGUGCUAAUGCAAAAAGGAAAGCUACUAUACUACCACGGUCUCAUUGGUCGGGCGCGAUGCCUUUGCCGCGGUCCUCGCUCGGUAAACCUGUUCCUACCACUGGAAAUAGAGUGGGGUGAGAACUAUCUUCCAUAGUUUUCAGUGGGCUCGGCCGCCGACUCCGCGGAUCUCCCCACUAGGUCCAAGUGGGCACAAGUAACAACAAAUAGAUAGAUAGAUAGAUAUCUCAAAGCUGUAAAGGCAUAAAGGAAAACUAUGCUACUAUGCCCAUAAUCAUGUAUAAUGAAUGCAUGCAUUAUAUAGUAAAGGUUUACUAACAUGCUAACAAUUUCGAUCCAUGUUCGAAUGAUAAUGUUCCAUGACAUUGUUAAUUAUUCAUUUACCCAAUCCGUAGCAAAACCCUUGGACUAGCCUACAACUCACCUUUCCAUCCCGUAUUCGGCAAGGGAGCUCCAUGUGCCCCCAAACCCGGGACUGUCUGCGGACCUCCAUGUGGUCCUAAUCGCCCGACACUCUGGAGUACUCGACGACAAUCCUCUCCAUGUGAGGAUAUGGAUGGCUAUACCACCCCAAAACAGACCGUGAGCUCGAUCUAUCCCCUCUAUGUGGGAAUACCCUACCGCUAGGGUCAACAUAUCUCUCGGAAUCAUCUACAUCCUCUCCAUGUGAGGAUAUUUAGUUUUACUAAGUUCUUUGUCCACAAGGCAUUUUCUAGGGAGUCCACUUAUCCCUAAGUUCACAAGAACCUUUAGUGUCAAAUACACUACUUUAAUGCCACUCGAUAUGAUCUCUAACAUUUAGAUGUCAUUUUCUAUGUCACUAAACACCCAUCGUGUCCAUCUCUUCCCUUUAGCACUAUAGGAUCCAUGUUUCGACCCAAUCCUCACCUAUCCAAGUCACCAAGCGUUCCAUGUACACUAGGUUUACAUUUAGAAGCAUAAGGAAAAUAUACUACAAUGCAAUCCUACAAUGCAACAUGCAAGAGAUGCAAAUCAUGUAUUUCUAAGACAUAGAAAAGAGUUCGGUUGCUUCGGGAUGACACCCCCCCACCUUUUCUCGUUGUAGAGGCUCUAGAAAUGCCUCUCGCCGAACGUUACGACGAGGUCUCGGCUUCUUUGGUCCAAAACAAUGCUCAAUCGGCCUUAUUUUGCCGAUAGCUUUUCACCGGCUCAACGAAUGCUCAAUCCGUCUUCGCCCCGCAUUUAGACACCUAUCAAUUAGAUUUACAAGGCCUCAAAUGAGAUCAAUCUCAUCCUUCACCAAAAACGCUACUUGGGUGCCCUAGGGUUCACAUCUUGCCAUUUGCAAUUUGGAACCCUAGCCUCUAGCUCUAAUCCACCAACAAUGGUGCAAGAGGUCCAUUUGACCCCAUUUCAAAAGCUCAAAACCCAAAACCCUAAGUUCUACAAGCUAGGGUUUGUAGCUUACCUCUUGAGCUACACCAAUGGAGAGAGGAGGAAGAGAGGAAGAUGCUCCAAGCCUUCUCUAGCUUGAUCUCUUUCUUCUCCUUCUUCUUCUCCUUCCUUUCUUUCUUCUUCUCCUUCUCUUUUCUUUCUGAAGAGAGAGAGUGUGUGUGAGGGGAAUGUGUGAGAGUGAGAGAGAGAGAGAGAGAGAGAGCUCUCUUCCCUCUUAUCACCCUCCAACUAAUGCCAUUUUGCAUAAAAACCCCUCAACUUUUGUCUCUGUGCACUGCCCUUACUGGGCUGUCUGCGCGCCGAGGGACCGGUCUCCUCGACCUGGGACCGGUCCCCGAGAGCUUCCCAUAUGUGCCGGGCGGGCUUCCGCUGGGUCCCGGGGCGUGACAGAUAAGAAGCAAGGUCGCAUAUAUUGGUUUGAUUUGAUUUAGAGGUAUAGAUAGUGAACGGUUCGCUUCGGCUCGGUUUGGUUCGGUUUGGUUCACAGGUUCAGAGAGAGGUAGUUCAAUGGUUCGGUUCAGAUGUUUAGAGACAACAGUUCGGUUCGGUUCGGUUCAGAGAUUUAGAGAGAGGCAGUUCAAUGGUUCGGUUCAGAUGUUUAGAGACACAAUGAGCGGUUCAGUUCAAGUGCCAGAUAAGCAGUCCAAUUUAGAAUGCAUUCGGUUCGGUUUUCAUACAAAAAAUUAGGGAGGCAAAUCAUUGGUUCAGUUCGGUUCAAGUGCUAAUUUAGAAAAGAGAAAAGUAAGAGAAGAUAGAGAAUCGGUUCGGUUUCAAAUAGAUAGUUCGGUUAAAAAAAAAUGGUUUGGUUCAAAGUAGGUUUAUUAUUAUUAUUUAUUAUAUAUUAUAUAUUAUAUUUAUAUUAUAUAUAUCUAUAAUCUAUAAUCUAUAAUCUAUAACUCUAAAUGAAAGCACAAUCUUUCUUGCCACGUGGCAAGUAAUCCUUCAUCCUUUCAUCCUCCUUUCACAAUAUUUUCAUCCCUUUAUCCUCAUUAAAAUCCUCAUAAAUCCUCACAAUAUGUCUUAGAUAUAGGGCUUAAGAACCACUUUAAAGCAUUUCUCAACCGUUCACAUAUUCAUCAUUAAUUUAUAUGCAGAUCCCUUCGUUUUUAGAUUUUUUUAAAAAACCCUAGAAACCUAAAAUAUAUAUAAAUAUAUAUAUAUACACAUAUUAUUUUACUAAAUUUUUUACUCGAAGAACUUUUCUCC
rnacentral:lncRNA from 1 species